CCACUUCGGUGGUGAGCGGCGAACGGGUGAGUAACACGUAGGUCAUCUGCCCAUCAGACGGGGACAACGAUUGGAAACGAUCGCUAAUACCGGAUAGGACGAAAGUUUAAAGGUGCUCCUGGCACCGCUGAUGGAUGAGCCUGCGGCGCAUUAGCUAGUUGGUGAGGUAACGGCUCACCAAGGCGACGAUGCGUAGCCGACCUGAGAGGGUGAUCGGCCACACUGGGACUGAGACACGGCCCAGACUCCUACGGGAGGCAGCAGUAGGGAAUCUUCCGCAAUGGACGAAAGUCUGACGGAGCAACGCCGCGUGAGCGAAGAAGGCCUUCGGGUCGUAAAGCUCUGUUGUCAGGGAAGAACAAGUGCCAUUCGAAUAGGUUGGCACCUUGACGGUACCUGACCAGAAAGCCACGGCUAACUACGUGCCAGCAGCCGCGGUAAUACGUAGGUGGCAAGCGUUGUCCGGAAUUAUUGGGCGUAAAGAGCUCGUAGGCGGUUUGUCGCGUCUGCUGUGAAAACCCGAGGCUCAACCUCGGGCCUGCAGUGGGUACGGGCAGACUAGAGUGCGGUAGGGGAGAUUGGAAUUCCUGGUGUAGCGGUGGAAUGCGCAGAUAUCAGGAGGAACACCGAUGGCGAAGGCAGAUCUCUGGGCCGUAACUGACGCUGAGGAGCGAAAGCAUGGGGAGCGAACAGGAUUAGAUACCCUGGUAGUCC
rnacentral:rRNA from 1 species